CAACCAAAAGAAAGGGCAAGGAGAAGGAAGUUCCUCGGAGGGGUAGUAAUUUUUCCAAGGAAGAGGAUGUUGUCUUAUGCUCUGCAUGGCUGAACGUCAGCAUAGAUCCCAUAAUAGGAGCUGGACAGAGUCAAGGAGGUUUCUACAAAAGGAUGCAUGAGUACUUCAAUGCGAACAAGCCACAAGGUAGCACAAGAAGUCAAAAUGCUAUACAAAACAGAUGGCUGUUGAUCCAGAAAUGUGUUAACAAGUUCUGUGGCAUAAAGUCUGCUAUUGAUCGGAGGCAUGAGAGUGGUAAGAACGAGGCAGACAGGAUUGAGGAUGCAAUCAACACGUACGAAAGGAAGGAACCAU